ensembl:ncRNA lncRNA:CR30121 long non-coding RNA:CR30121
CUAGAUAGCCAGCCGAUCCCUUAAGUGUUUGGAAUAUCUGACAGUACAACUGAAAGAAUCGAUCAAACUGAGAAAGGUUUGGCAAAGCCCUGCCAGUUAAAUAUCGACAGAGUGAAAACUGCACGCCGGAAAAACAGCUCGAGGCAAUCAAAUGCUGCCCCCUACUCUUUGCUUUUCCAGCUUUUCCUGCUGUUUUUGCUCGUUUGUUAGCACGUUGGAAAAGCUUCGCUUGAUAAGCAUAAGAAAUGGAAGGCAACUAACAAGUGCGUUGGCUUGAGCGUGUGUGGGAUUUUGGGUGUGUGUGUGUGUGUGUGUGUGUGGCACAACGAACGACUGCACAUAACAAGCUUCCAUUCUAUCCCAUUUAUGCUGCUCCUUGGCAGCUGAUAGGACAAACCGGAGGCGCUAUAACCGUAGCUGAACUCUGUUGCACUAGUCAAACUUAAGCCGGAAAUUCACUAAACAUGGAACAUUCACUUGCCUGCAAUUGUAUUUACUGCUGGAGAAAACGAAAACAAUUGCCGCAAAUAUGGCAAAUGGCAAUUGAAAAACAAAAGUCCCUGGCGAAACGAGACCAGAAAUCCGUUCGCCUGCUGCUUUCACACUUUCCAGCCACGCAGGACAAAAGGCCAAAAAAGCGGCAGCAGGGACGUGAGUGCUGAAAAAAAAGCCAAGGAUGCAGCUGCACACAGAAGAAAUGAAAAAAAUGGGGACGGAGUGUGGGAAAAUGCACAAAAUUGGCUGUGAAAUGAACGAGAUGAGGCGGCUAUUGUUAACAUCUGAGGGAAUACAAGGGUAAUAGCUAUGACAGCAGCGAAACUGAGGUCAACACUUGGCUUUGCGUGCGCAAAAGGCAGGCCAAAGUCAAACGGAAAUCUGCAUAAGACCCUCCAGUUGCGAUUGACAGUCCUUGAGAUGUUUCCACUCAGUUUCCCAUGUCUGUGGCCUCUGACAGAACCUGAACAGCAAACCGAGCACCAAAACAUCGAACAGCUGGGUGGGCAAUUAAAAGGCAUUCCAGAGGUCAGCAUAAAUUAGUCAAAUGCGUGUAUGCAAAUGCCAUUUGUGCGAUUAACAAUGCAGGCUUCAAGACCACUGAGCACACUACGCACAAAAGACACACAUUAAAGUUAUCUGAAAUUAUAUGGCAAAAGGUAACACAUGGAUAUAUAUAUACAAUAUAUGUAUAUAUAUUGCCGUACCUAGGGGAACUGACCUGGCUGCCUGGCAACUUUCCCAUAAUUUACACUUUAUCGAACGAUAACAAACAACCUGCAUAAUGUAUGGCUCUUGGUUUUGUCCUGGACUCGUAAGGAAUGGCAGCUCACCUGUGGGUGUGGGGUUGUGGGUGGCAUUCUGGCAUUGACUGGCGCUUGAGGUUACCAAAAGGGUCCUGCGUGAGAUCCUUCUCGCCUUCUAAACAAAAUUCCCGUAUGCAAAAUGUGCCGUCAAUCAAAAAUGCCACAACUGCAACUCGUUGCACCUUUGGGCCAAGUCUACGGAGGACCUGUUAACCCACAUUUACCAGGCGAUUUGGCGACCUGGGAGACAAAAACCAUUUACAUUCGAAAACCAUAAAAGAUACAAACGCCGACCUUCUCCGCUCGUUUGGGGAAUAUGGCAUAAUAAAAUUUUAAUUCGUUGCGAUUGAUGGUGGCCCCUCAAACGUAACCACCACAUCCAUAUACGUAUACAUAUAUACAAGCAUCGAUGGUUGAUUUCCCAGAGCCGAGGGAUACAACCAAUACAUUACAUUUUAUAACCCCAGCUAAUUUGCAUAUAUGCAGGCAUACGUACGACCAUAGAAAUACGAGUAUAUGUGUCUGCGUAACAUUGAUUGGAUUUGUUUGACUUUCACACUGCCUGAUGGCAUCGCAUCGAAGAUGGCUGGGGUUUUUCGGCCUGGGAUGGUGAAAGGUGGUUUUUAGGGCUUUCUGAUGGUUUUUAGGCGGUGGUGCGCUGGAAGGCUAAGUGCCUGACAUUUACUAAAUGGCAAAGGGAACGGCUUCACAGGCUUUUGCUGGUUAUACUUUCCCCAUUUGCUCAACCGAAAAUUGCACUUGCCUCGUUAGUCGAAAUGGCUGGGUAAUUACGAGUGGUCGGAAUUGCCUCCCAACAACUCAUCGCCUACUUGGCUUAUAACCUUCAAAGUUGCAGCUAACAAAGAAAAACUGGUCAUGCCUUUUGGUAUCCUUUAAAUAGAUAAUGAACUUACAAGUUUGCACUUAGUAGAUUGUUCAAGUAUCUGUUGAUUAUUAUAAUAGAGCUCAAAUAAAGGUAAUUCAUACAAUCAAUCAGU